CAAAUAACUCCCUUACCAUUAGUUGAUUCUAGACUCAGGUUCAGGGGAAGGGAGGUGCUGAGCAGAGAAUACUGGAAGUAAAACAUAAAAACAGUCCCACAGUAGAGGACAUACUGUAACAUAGCAUAUUGUAAAAAUUGCCUUGAUCACUACAUAUCAAAUAUGAUUCAGCCUCUUCAUUUAUCAGUCAGGGAAUCACUCAGUACCAUGUCAGAGAAAUGCUGCCCUGCCUCCAAUUACUUCAUUUGUGAUAUAUGCAAAAACCACAGCAAAGGGAACACUGGUUAGGAAAGGUUCUUCUGUUAUUUACGUAUACGUUCAAUGGUAGUCUUUUCUCACAUUUUUCACAGUUAGUACAAAAAGGAAGCAAAGUUCUGAGGGCCAGUUUUCCAGAGUUAAAAAAACCAGCAUUUGGAAGGUGAAACUAUGGCCCAGUUUUCAAUCCAAGUAGAUGAUUCCAUUUUUUGAGAGGGGUUUGGGGUGGGCAAGAUUGAUGUUUGUGCAUGAGUUAAUCAUAUUGCAAUAUGUGCAGGUCUGGACAGAAAUAAAUACUUUGCUCUUUCCCUGCUAUUGUAGCAAAAUUUGCCUUCUAAAAAUGAGCUCUUCAGAUGUAUAUGUAAAUAUGAGACUGAGCUAGGCAACAACCAGCUCUUUCCAAAUACUUGUUAGACUGUAAACAGGAACUGGAAUAACCAUUUGCAUAAUUUGUGUUAUCUGCAGCUUAUCUUAGAGUCUGAAUGGUUGGUGCUAUGUCCCAGUCAGAAUCACUUGUAUAUUGUCAUUAAGUCUUCCUCCAGUCUUUUUUUUUUCCCACUGAUGAUGGAUGGAGUUGGUAUUGACAGGGGAAGAUAUGUUGGGAGGUGGGAAGCCAAGAGCAUGACCAUUUUGCUUCUCUUCUAUCUCCUGAGGAAAUUAGAAGUUUCACAGGUUGUAGAA